AGUUCCAUCCCCAGGUUUUCUUCCCCCUGAGCCAGGCUGGACUAAGGUCAGUCUAGAGAUGAUUCUAACAUCUCUUUCACUACGGAUAUACUAGAAUAUCUACACAGUGACAAACACUGGAUAUGAACUUUCUCCCAAACUAGUCCAUGGAGCCAAGGCUACUAAUCCCUGUAGAAGGCUCAGAGUUCAAGUAUCUAGAAAGCUAAAAUGUGGUCCAGUGUGCCUCUCCUCCAACUGCAGAAACUUGUUGGAAAUAUGUUCCAAAGCUCCCUUCAAACCCAUUUAUCUAAAGAAUGGUGACAAGUAAGAGGAAGCAAUGCAAUGUGAUUUGCAUCUGGAAGUUGGUUGUUGUGUAAAUAUAUCUUUCUGGCAGGGUUUCUUAAUCUUUUUUGUGUCAUGGACCUUUUUGGCAAUCUGGUGAAGACUAUGAACCUAUGAUCAGAAUAGUGGGUCAGGCUAGAUCAACAGAGAUUAAGGGAUGUUUAUGACCUGUUCUGUGUCACUGUGAUUAUUACGGUAGCUGGCAGAGGGCAC